GGAGAUGCGACCCUUCUCGCUUCUCCUUCUGGAAGAAGAAUCGCCUUUGGAUGCCGUCUUUGGAGACAGUCAGCUGCUGAACUUUGGACUUUAUCUUGCCCCAUUUCAUCAACAACUGCAACUAUAAUAACACAACAAUUGUGGGCUGGCAAACUUGAUCAGGAGCCAGCCGGGCCUCCCUCUGCUUGCUUGGUUCAUCUUUUUGAGAGGGUGCAUGCACCUCCAUGGUAACUUCCAGGGAAGUGCCUGCCAUUUGCAGUGCAACCACAAGGUGUCUCCCGCACUUUAGCUAUGCUUAAUCCUUGCUUUGCAGGGGUGGUGGAUGGCUUGGAUCAGAACAGCAAAAAUGAACACUCUCACACCCCACCACUGAAAAUCUCAAAUGGGCCAAUUAUGGAGUUUCUCUAUUAUCAUUUUUGUCCCCCCCCAAAAGAAUAUAAUUGCCAGAAGGGUCAGCAAACUGUGAUGCAUGGGCUAAGUCUGUUUUUGUACACCCCACAUAAUAAAUAAAAUUGCUUUGUAUAUUUUAAGCAGUAAAUUAAAAUAAAAGACGAUUAAUAUUUCA